UUGGAGGGCAAGUCUGGUGCCAGCAGCCGCGGUAAUUCCAGCUCCAAUAGCGUAUAUUAAAGUUGUUGCAGUUAAAAAGCUCGUAGUUGAAUUUCGGGGUCAGUAGGUUGGUCAUGCCACAGGUAUGUACUGAUCUUACUGAUUCCUCCUUCCUGAUGAACCGUAAUGCCAUUAAUUUGGUGUUGCGGGGAAACUGGACUGUUACUUUGAAAAAAUUAGAGUGUUUAAAGCAGGCUAACGCUUGAAUACAUUAGCAUGGAAUAAUGAAAUAGGACGUUCGAUCCUAUUUUGUUGGUUUCUAGGAUUGACGUAAUGAUUAAUAGGGAUAGUUGGGGGCAUUAGUAUUCAAUUGUCAGAGGUGAGAUUCUUGGAUUUAUUGAAGACUAACUACUGCGAAAGCAUUUGCCAAGGAUGUUUUCAUUAAUCAAGAACGAAAGUUAGGGGAUCGAAGACGAUCAGAUACCGUCGUAGUCUUAACCAUAAACUAUGCCGACUAGGGAUCGGAUGAUGUUAAUUUUUUAAUGACUCAUUCGGCGCCUUACGGGAAAC
rnacentral:rRNA from 1 species